rnacentral:lncRNA from 1 species
UUGAUGUGUGUGUUCUUGUGCUAGGGGGUUCCCACUUGAGCUAAGUUGAAGGACCAUUGCCAUGUUCAUCCAAAGUGAAAGAUACAAGAUACAUUGAGGAUCACUUUUGAUGUGUGUGUUCUUGUGCUAGGGGGUUCCCACUUGAGCUAAGUUGAAGGACCAUUGCCAUGUUCAUCCAAAGUGAAAGAUACAAGAUACAUUGAGGAUCUCUUAAGAGGCUUGUU